UGAGAAAUGAUGUCUGAGGCUCUCCUCCA
rnacentral:piRNA from 1 species